CGAUCUGUCAAGCAUGGUGCUGUUCCUCCUGCUGUGCCUGCUGUAGAGCUGUGCAUGUGGCUGGUUUAUCUACAAUACGAAGAAGUACUCCUCCUCUGCCUACAGCAGCUCCACGGCAAUCUCCGUUCCCACAGCCUGACCCGCUCACACUGUCGGCUCUGAUGUCACUCUUCUGAGCCGCAUCUUCCACAGCGUGUGCUCUGAGUAUUACCUGCUCACUUGCCUGCUUUCAACGCUCACUGAUUUAACAACUAGAAGGGGAAUACUGAAGAAGCAAUGGAGAUUGGGUUCAUUAGAGGACCACUCUCUUCUGAGGAAAAGGUUCGAAGAAAAGAAAAG